rnacentral:pre_miRNA from 1 species
AGUGGAAUAGCUGAGUCAAAUGGUGGUUCCAUUACAAAUUUUCUGAGGAAUCUCCAUAUUUUUUUCCAGAGUGGUUGUACCAGUUUGCAGACCCACCAACAAU